rnacentral:tRNA from 1 species
AAGAAUUCGCUCAUAGACCGUGAUAUGCAAAUUUUUGUCUUCCCGAAACGCACGAUACUUGAGAAUCAAAGAAUUCUCUUUUUCGAUAUACCUACCUCUAUUUGUAUUUGUUUGCUCGAUUUAUUUGUUCAAAAAGAUUAGGAUCGAGAUAGGAUAAUGAUCUCGAGUCAUAGCAGUAUCCCCAAGUA